UCUUGUUUCUCAGACUUUAACUCCUCCUCUCUUUGAGAAUUAAUACCUUAAAGGGAUGCAGCAAUAGUCAUCGUGAUUAACAAAGAGUGAAACAAGUCGAAAUUCACUUUAAUAUGAAAAUGAUUCAAGAACUAUUAGAUUCAUUCAAAAAUAUCUAAAUAAAUGUUUAGUUGUAAUAGAUUUUUUUUUAAAUCAAAUUUGUAUAUGAUCACAAAGUGUAGAAAAACCUCAGUCGUUUUAUAAAUCAGAUUUUUUAAACAUCUAAUAAAUAAGAAUAGAUCAUUUUUUAUGUCAAGGAAAGUCCUCAAACAGGUGGAAUGAGCUUGGAAACGAGCCUUUAACGUCAGCGUUUUAAUUAUUGACAAAUGAUAUAUAUACACAUAUAUACUUUUACUUUUUUCAUUUUUCAUUUUUGAACAUUACUGUUCGAGAAUAAGUGUUUAUUAAAUUAAAUUGUUUUUGCAGUGCAAUAUUUACUUUGAUGUCUGCUAAUGAGCAGUCCUGCUUAGAACCCCCCCCCCCCCCCUGCAAGUAACGUAUAUUACUUCCAAAGGCUACUGACCAUAUGAUUAAGCAUCUUCAGACAAUUGAAAGCACACUACAUGUGACACAUCAAAUAACAAUAUGCCUGAGGUACAAUAGGUUAUUUUGCACAUAGCAGGGUGGAUACCGUGAUGAACUGACAGUGCCUUUAUCCCUGCUGUAAUAUGAGGCCGGAUAUGGUCCUCAAUAUAUGUAAAUUAUACAGUUUGCCUCUGAGCGCUGCCACGUUCGAUUCGCAUAUAAGAUUCAAAUGACAUUUCCACGUACUUUAACGCAGUAGGUAUUCAAAUUAUGUUUAUUACCACUUUCGACACAUUUUUGUCUACAAUGUAGCAUUCAGCAAUUUUACCCAAAAAAAAAUAGAGGAUGAAGAAUAAUUAUGGUAGCAAUCAAGUUACUGCGAAAACCUAUUUGAUUAGCGGCCACACUUUACUCAAAUUGCAGCUAUAAAAUUAAGAACAAUUCGCCUGUAAUGAUUAUGGACCGGAUUUAUUUUGGGAGGGUGGAAUAAAAGUGGAUAUAGCAUAAAUUAUCCCCUAAUUAUACGCCAGCGUCGCCUCAAUUAUCCUCUUAUCAAAAAUGGUUGUCUAAAUGCAGCGUUUAGUUUUCAAUUUUCUCCUUUUCUGUAACCAGAACUUGGUACCUUGCUAUUAUCGUUCCGGUUGUUAUUUACUUUGUGGGAUUUAAAAAGUGCACAACUCAGCCGGAUAAAUCAUUUUUACAGCAGCGGACCACGAGAGCACAGAGGCAGGGAUGUGAGCCCCAAGAAAGGAUUUAUUUCAUGCUUCCAAAACUCUUCUAUUUUUCGAAAUUAUAUUUUACAAACAGGCUGCCUCUUUUGUCGCCAGGAGCACUGAAGGCGCUCGGUGUGGCCGCUCAGACCUCGCAGGAAGUCAGCCCACCUUGGUCACCCCUCAGUGAUCUGACAUAGUGGCCAAUUCCCCUGCCCGUGUUCCACUUGGACACGCAGAAGAGAAACCAGAUCCUAUACCUUUUCUAAUCGCCUUUUGAGUGCUACUACAAAGACGCACAUGCUUUUUUUUUUUUUUUUUGCAGCGAUGUUCAGUGCACGAUCUUCGGUCUCGGUUGAGAUCAGACGUCUUUUUGCGGCAUCUUCUGCGCGCCGCCGCACGAUUCUUGUGGUUGUUACUUUGCGGGGUGUUCUGCGCGGUUAACACCCAAAGCCUCGGUGUCCCGCAGGCGUGCUGCGGGAGGCACGCGGAGAUUAAGUGAAGUGGUGAAAGGACGGAUUUGUUUGAACGCAGACGACAUGACAUGCUCGACCUUGGUGCUUUCGAAAUGUUUUAAGAUGCCUGCUGACAACCGUGUCUCAUUGGAAGGCACGUGGCGAAACCAGCGGUUCCCUAUACAAGGGACAGUGGACAUAAUUCGUUUAAAAUCCAAAAUAUUUAGACUUAAAAAAAAAAGGAGACGGACCCUACUCCACCUGCCCUCCGUCAUAUUAAGAGUUCCUGGAGGGAAAUUAUUUCAUAUCUCACCUCCGUCUAAAUGUCAAUCACAAAAAAAUGAACUGCGUUCAGCUGCAAAUGUAGAAAUCACUUUGUCCCUAAGUAGAUGAUUGACCUUCAGCACAAUCAAUGGCCGUGGCGGUUGAACAGAAGUGGUCUUUAUUUCCAGCUGUCUUAUAAACGCUGAUGAAUGACUCUCUAAAAAUCACUCCAGGCCUGAUGGGAUUUCCCUCACGUCCGCUGUCCACGUCGGGAUACACGAAAACUGAGAAUAUUUUACUGCGCGUUUAGGUGUAACCUGUCCUUAUUUGUAGUGUUAACACGGUCGCUGCCAGUUUCGAAGGCGAGCUGUGGCAUCUUAAACCUAAAUUGGUAAAAAAAAAAAAAAAAAUCAGCACGUGCUCGGGCAAGGUCCUUUACGGACAACAGACGCGUGCACACGUUUCCAAACGGUUCAAAAUAUAUGAAAUACAGCUGUUCUCCACUUCCCUCUCCUACUUUCUCUGUCUCUCUCCCUCUUCCAAUGUGUGUCACUGACUGCUGUCACGGUUGUUGUUGUUUUUUCUUCUUUUAAAGUCUGCACGUAUAUUUUCUUGUCUAUUUUGGCCACACGUGUUAAUCAUACAUGAGCGACGACACGGACUUCCAGUAGAACACGGGGCUUUCCUGUAGCUGGAGGCUGGGCGCUUGCGGUCGGUGCAACGCCAACCUCCGCGGCUGCUCAGGGGGGUCCGGGGAGGUUUUUGGGGACGCUGAGGCUUGUCACCUGCAGGCAGAGACCGGGAGGCACUUAAACAACACGUUUCCCCUUCUCCGCGGCGCAAAGCCGCUGGCGAAUAAACAGACAGCCGGGCGUCCACGGCGGCUCUCCGUGUCUGCCGUGUGAAGCGCACGCGGAUGCACUCUCCCCGUGCGCAGCUGUCAAGCUGUAACGCGGUUUCAUGUAACUAC
ensembl:lncRNA